UCUUGCUACUCCGUCUUUUCCU
rnacentral:miRNA from 2 species